AGUCGACGAUGAAGCCCUUCGGGGUGGAUUAGUGGCGAACGGGUGAGUAACACGUGGGCAAUCUGCCCUUCACUCUGGGACAAGCCCUGGAAACGGGGUCUAAUACCGGAUAACACCGGCCUCCGCAUGGGGGCCGGUUGAAAGCUCCGGCGGUGAAGGAUGAGCCCGCGGCCUAUCAGCUUGUUGGUGGGGUAAUGGCCUACCAAGGCGACGACGGGUAGCCGGCCUGAGAGGGCGACCGGCCACACUGGGACUGAGACACGGCCCAGACUCCUACGGGAGGCAGCAGUGGGGAAUAUUGCACAAUGGGCGAAAGCCUGAUGCAGCGACGCCGCGUGAGGGAUGACGGCCUUCGGGUUGUAAACCUCUUUCAGCAGGGAAGAAGCGAGAGUGACGGUACCUGCAGAAGAAGCGCCGGCUAACUACGUGCCAGCAGCCGCGGUAAUACGUAGGGCGCAAGCGUUGUCCGGAAUUAUUGGGCGUAAAGAGCUCGUAGGCGGCUUGUCACGUCGGGUGUGAAAGCCCGGGGCUUAACCCCGGGUCUGCAUCCGAUACGGGCAGGCUAGAGUGUGGUAGGGGAGAUCGGAAUUCCUGGUGUAGCGGUGAAAUGCGCAGAUAUCAGGAGGAACACCGGUGGCGAAGGCGGAUCUCUGGGCCAUUACUGACGCUGAGGAGCGAAAGCGUGGGGAGCGAACAGGAU
rnacentral:rRNA from 1 species